GUGUCAGCCGCCGCGGUAAUACGGAGGGGGCUAGCGUUGUUCGGAAUUACUGGGCGUAAAGCGCACGUAGGCGGAUUGUUAAGUCGGGGGUGAAAUCCCGGGGCUCAACCCCGGAACUGCCCUCGAUACUGGCAAUCUAGAGGUCGAGAGAGGUAAGUGGAAUGGCGAGUGUAGAGGUGAAAUUCGUAGAUAUUCGCCGGAACACCAGUGGCGUAGGCGGCUUACUGGCUCGAUACUGACGCUGAGGUGCGAAAGCGUGGGGAGCAAACAGGAUGAGAUACCCUGGUAGUCCACGCCGUAAACGAUGAGUGCCAGACGUCGGGCAGCAUGCUGUUCGGUGUCGCAGUUAACGCAUUAAGCACUCCGCCUGGGGAGUACGGCCGCAAGGUUAAAACUUAAAGGAAUUGACGGGG
rnacentral:rRNA from 1 species